rnacentral:rRNA from 1 species
AUUGAACGCUGGCGGCAGGCCUAACACAUGCAAGUCGAGCGGAUGAAGGGUUUCUGCUCUUGGAUUCAGCGGCGGACGGGUGUGUAAUGUCUAUGAACCUGCCUGGUCGUGGGGGAUAACGUCCGGAAACGGGCGCUAAUACCGCAUACGUCCUGAGGGAGAAAGUGGGGGAUCUUCGGACCUCACGCUAUCGGAUGAGCCUAGGUCGGAUUAGCUAGUUGGUGGGGUAAAGGCCUACCAAGGCGACGACCCGUAACUGGUCUGAGAGGACGACCAGUCACACUGGGACUGAGACACGGUCCAGACUCCUAGAGGAGGCAGAAGUGGGGACGAUUGGACGAUGGGCGGAAGAUUGAUCCAGCGAUGCCGGGCGGGUGCAGAAGGGCUUCGGACUGUAUAACACUUUAAGUGGGGAGGACGGGCAGUAAGUUAAUACCUGGCUGUUUUGACGUUAGCAGCAGAAGAAGCACCGGCUAACUACGUG